rnacentral:lncRNA from 1 species
AUAGUGGUAGAUUAUGUUUUUGUUAAUUUUUUGCUGUUUAGUGCUAUCUAGGUUUAGCGAUAGGUUUAGUUAGCUUGGUUAGUUAGGUUAGUUAGUUAGUUAGAUUAAUAGAAAGAAUAGGAAGAAGAAGAAGAGGAGGAGGAGGAGAAGAGGAUAAGAGGAGGAGGAGGAGUAGAAGAAGAAGAAGAAGAAGAAGAAGAAGAAGAAGAAGAAUAGGAGGAGGAGAAGACAAAAAUAAGAAGGAGAAGCAGAAAAGAAGAAGAAAAGAAGAGAAGAAGAAUACCUUCUCCUCCUCCUUC